GCCAGCAGCCGCGGUAAUACGGAGGGUGCGAGCGUUGUUCGGAAUUAUUGGGCGUAAAGCGCGUGUAGGCGGUUUCUUAAGUCUGAUGUGAAAGCCCCGGGCUCAACCUGGGAAGUGCAUUGGAUACUGGGAGACUUGAAUACGGGAGAGGGUAGUGGAAUUCCCCGUGUAGGAGUGAAAUCCGUAGAUAUUAGGAGGAACACCGGUGGCGAAGGCGGCUACCUGGACCGAUAUUGACGCUGAGACGCGAAAGCGUGGGGAGCAAACAGGAUUAGAUACCCUGGUAGUCCACGCCGUAAACGAUGAGUACUAGGUGUCGCGGGUA
rnacentral:rRNA from 1 species